AUGCUUCCCCUGCCUCACUGUAGGCCCAAAUGGAUCCAGCAGGGAGGCAGCCUGCCAUGGGCCCCUGCUCAGGGGACCCCCACCUGGGCGGGGCCUCCUGGCUCCUGGGACUCACCCUCCUCCUCCUCAGCGUCUGCAGCACUGGCACCCAGGGUUCUGCAGCCCAUGGUUCUGGAGUUGAGGAUUCUGGAAACCCCGUUUCCCUGAAGGGGAUGCAAGGAGCUUCUGUGUUGUUUCAAGUGCUCAGAAACCCAGACUUGCCUGCAGGAGUCGAGCUGGAGAAGAUGACCUGGGGGAUCUCCUCCGGGGCAAACUACACAACCCUGCUGCAGGUCUCCCCUGGGGCACGCGAUCCAGAAUGGGUCAACUUCCAGGACAAGUUCCAGAAGAGGGUCCAUGUGCUCAACAUUACGACCCUGAGGAUGAACAACCUGACCCUGGAGGACACUGGGCUGUACCGGGCUCGGGGCUUCUACUCCAGAGGAAGACAAUACGACCAGGAUUUCCACCUGACUGUGUAUGAGCCCCUGCCCCUUCCCCAGAUCUGGGCCAAGGAUCGGUUCAUCACCCCAGGCUGGUGCAAUGUCACCGUGAAGUGUGACACCAUGGGAACCAGGGAGGACCUGACCCUGUCCUGGGAGAGGAAGAGACUCCCCAGGGAACUGGAACAACGAGUGGCCCCAGGACCAGCUCCCAACCCCUGGACCCUGGCUCUGAGCCUGCCCCUCAGCCAGCCCAGCGCCAGCCUCACCUGUGUGCUCAGCAACCAAGAGGACCAGAAAACUGUCACCUUGGACCUUGGGGACAUCUGUGGUCAUGAUCCACAGGGACAGGCUGAUGCCUCCCAACUACCCAGCAUCCUGGGGACUGUUGUGGUCCUGCUGCUGAUCCUGGGAGCUGGACUGUUCCUCUGGAGGACACGAGUGAAGAAGAGCCUGGAGCCUGGGAGAGGCAGGUUGCACUUCUCCUCCCUGGGCCCACACACCUCCCUCCCCUGGACCCUGGGCUCCCUUCCUCCUGCCUUACUGCUCAGGGGAUGUCCCUGCAGGAGGCUGGUGGGGGCGGCCAUGGCCUUGGGGUCAUGGAGGGGAGGGUACAGGUUUCCAGGGCUCAGACUUCAGCUCCCUCUGUGUAUGACCCAGGUGCAGGGUCGCAGGAGGAGCAUAGGGAUCCCGAUAGUGGCAUCUACUAUGCAGAGCUGAGCCAGCAGGGGUCUGGAGACAGCAGGGACAAGGGUAGAGGUGCAGCACAUCUGGAAGGGAACAAGCCUCUCACUACUGUCUACAGUGAGGUCCGCAGGGCAGGCGUGGCCCUGAUGAGGAUUUAAUUGGAAGAAGCCGGAGAAUCCCGCCCUCCGGGGACAGCUGUCUUGGGAGCAUGAUGCCUGCAGCUCUGGUCUCACCUCUUCCUCCUCUGACUCCUCUGGUGAGGGACUGGCUGGUCCAAGCAUCAGUUAGUGUCUAUGCUAAGUGGUUCUGCACACGUUUGCGAUUAGACAUCUGUAGGUCUUUCAAGAGGGGAAACUGAGUAAAUAAAUUGACAGAAACAUGUGUCA
rnacentral:lncRNA from 12 species